rnacentral:lncRNA from 1 species
UGCUCUUGUCGAGGCGAUUGAUCAGGUACAGCGCGUUGCUCGUAACCCUAGCCGAAUUCGUAAUCUUCCGCUUCACAUCCACGGCCUUGGCCUUCACAUUCGCCUCCUGAAUCCCAUCGAGACACGUCUCGUCAUCCGUGAGGGCGGCGCUCAGCCACGUCUGGGCAUUGCUCAUCUGGAAUCGAAACGUCUCCUUCCGGAGGUGGUGCAGCUCGGCGAGCGUCUCGCUCAGCUCGUCCACCGACGUCGACAUCAGGUCCACGCAGUCGCCGAUCGCCGAGAGCUGCAGCUUCGUCCCCUUGAAGGAGGCGGAGAGCUGGGCGAGGAAGCCGGAGACGCGGAGUGAGCGGGCGAGGCUAACGUUCACAGCGGCCUGGGCGAGGUCGCGGGGGGUCUUGGCGGGGCCGGCGUAGUUGGAUAGAGUGCGGAGGCAGAUUUUGGGGUAAGUGGCGUGGCGACAUGAUGAACGGACGAUAUUUGAUGCUGGGUGGUGUUUCCCUGCGGCGGAGGCGGAGUACAGCGAGCAGAAGAGGAGGACGAGGAGAGGGAGAAGAGAGAGUAGGAAACGCAUCGAGGAGGUGAGUAGAGUGAAGAUUGAAGAGUGUGGAAUUAAUCUGUGGCAGUGUUAGUCUGGUCGCUGGGGGGUGAGAGGUUGGGUAUAUAUAGGGGGCGUCUGUAGUGAACCAGUGACAGUGGGAAAGUAAACGGGCAAAUCUCCGUUUUAGACUAGGAAUGUUUAACAUUAGGUUAGCCUUGCCUUCCAAUAUCUUUCUAUUCGUUUAGAUAUACUUUUAAAAUAAUUGAAAACGUUUUUAGUGAAAAUAUUUUUAGAUUCCAAAAGCAUUUUAAGUGAUUUCUGCAAUAAACACUAAUUAUGUGCUUCUUUCAAGAAACACUUUAAGUAAUUUUUCAGGAUUCACUUGUAUUUUUACUAAGGAUUGAUUCAAAAAAUAUUAUCACCAAAAAUACUUUCAGUUAUUUUAAAAGCACAUCCAAACUAGCCUUUAAUAGUUUAAUACAAAACAUAGAUCACGUUAAUGUUUUUAAACUAAACUGCUUUAACAGAAGAAAAUAUAAAAAGAAAACAAAGAAUAUUGACAUUCAUAUUUUGCUGUCCGAUCAAGGAAUGAUUAAAAUAACUUUUUAUAUAUAGCGUCAUUCAAUAAUUCACUCAGGACAUUCGAAGAUAUAUUUUUAUCGGUUCACAAUUUCCUUACUUUUGUAAUCUUCUUUCCAAUAUGAGGUUUGGUUUUUCUCGUUUUUCUUUGUAUUGAUUCCAUCUAGGUAUUAUUCUUCUCGAUCACAUCUUAUUGGUCACUUCAUUUGAUUUUGAAUCAUUAAAACCUGUAUUGCUAUUUCUUAUUUACAGAGGAUAAACAACCCAAAAUCCUAGCCAUGCUCUUCUUUUUUUUCAACGUACAUUCAUUAAUAAGAACAUCAUUCAUCAUGAAUACAAUUCAGUGAUUACAAAUGCAACAAAAAGACAAUACAAAUUUUACCCCAUAUAACCGUAAAUCUAACCAAACGGAAGGAUAACACUCAUAAAGACAAAAUCUUGCUUCACUUUCUUAAUAACUUGCAAAAGACGACGCUCAUUCGACAAAUAAGUCAUGCUACGAGACAUCACGGAGAUGUCUUCAUAGUCCUUUGCCAAAAAAAACAACAAACAACGAAACCACAACCAAAACAAAAUAAACUCUUCAAAGGUACGAUUCCUCAAUCAUGGGAUACCCGCACCUAACUAACAAGAAAGAUAAGCUCGCAAUGCCUAAACCCAAUGAGCCGGCUGGACCUAACACCAUCAAGACUCGCAAGGUAAACAUCCUACCAUCACCUGAAGAAUUUGCAACGACAAUAAAACAUGAUUGUGAAUCCCUCAAACCACUGCAACAACCCCUCAAACGAAAGACCACACCACCCUUUGAUGACAAGACUCGCAGGGUAAACAUCCAACCAUCACCUGAAGAAUUUGCAACGACAAUAAAACAUGAUUGUGAAUCCCUCAAACCACUGCAACAACCCCUCAAACGAAAGACCACACCACCCUUUGAUGAUCUUCAAAUAGUCAACAAUCUUACUAUGAGUCACCUCCAACAAACGUGAGCUUCUUCCCAUAAUCCUUGCCAAAAGCACAAACCACAAAAUCACCACUUCAAAUUUGAACAACAAAUAUCACUUUUAAAAUCUGAAGUUGAGUAAUAAGUUAUUACCGCAACAAAAACUCUCAUCCUCAACUAUAAAAACUCUCCGCGACAAAACAAGCAAAAAAUAUGACUUUUCUCUUGGCGUCCGAGUAUCACCUCCUCCCUUUUCCAUUAUGGUGCGUUUCCUUUCCCUAUCUCGGUUUACUUUGUAUUGAUACCGUCUCCUGUAUCAAGAGAAGAAUACAUUACUAUCUAGUUAUUAGUCUUCUCCAUCACUUCUUCAUCGUCACUUCAAUCACAUCUUAACCGUCACUAAAUCGUUGAAUUUUUUUUUUUUUUUUCAAAAACCUACCCACGAUUUCACUCUCUAAUAUUGUUCUUGAAUUUAAAGUUGAAGACAUUAUUUCAAGUUUCAACCACUUCCCGUAAUUCAACCAACCCAUGUCUACAUUGUCCACGUAGAGAUUUCCAUCACCAGACUAUGUACUAUUUUAGAAUGAUAAAUUAAAUGGCAGUAUUGCUAUUUUUGUAGUGCUCAAGUGUCUUUUCUUGUUUAUGGAAUAGUCCUUACCAACAAUGAAGAUCAAAGUAACACUCAAACCGACAUUGACAGCUAUAACGAGUGCUUUUAUAAGACGCACUUCUGUUUAUAUAAAUUCCUUAAACCCAAUUAAAUUGCAUUUUUUGUGUUUUCUUCAAUUAACUUUACAUUUUUAUUUCAAAUGUUAUAUGAUAAAUGGUUUUGAUUUUUUCAAAAAGCUUUUUUUUAAACAAAACGAUAGUAUUUACACUAAGAGAAAUGAUGUGGGCUUAGUCUCACAAUGAGCAGGCAAAAUGUGGUUCAAAUUCGCCUUUAGCGAAAAUCAAACCUAAAACCUCUCGCUUACAAGUAAAUAACGUUUUUAAUCUUUCUAAAAGCACUAACAAACAAAUAUUAGUUAUUUCAAACAUGUAAUAGGGAAUUUAAGCGCCCCGAUUUGUGGCUAUUUUGCCUAGUUUUGGGGACCAGUGAAGGAGAUCCAAAUAAAUGCCCUGGUAGAAUAGCUCACCUUUCAGCCCAUCACCAACCAACUAAAAUAUGCAAACGUGUAUGUAUUAACCAAUAACCAAAGUCCACGACCAUCAUGUACGGUGCAAGCGCACCCUCUUACUUUGCUCCUCUCUCUAAUGGCGUUGUGUCACCAAUUUGUUUUCAAGUUUGUAACCAAGUGGUAUUCAAUACGUGAGGGGAACAAACGAAGACGGAUAUCCUAUUUUUCGGGAACAUAUAUCAUCGGCGACGUCUCCAAACUAAUCAUAAAUAACUGAGAGUCGUCCACCAACACGUAAACAACAAGAUCUAGAAUGCAUGAUUUACUAAAACAUAUAUAUGUAUUGUACAGUAUGAACACAUAAGCUCUAGCUUGUACACUAGAAACAAUGCGUCGAUCAAUGAGAUUGAUUGGCAUGGUUUAACCCUGCAAGAAACGUUGGCGUAAAACUUUUGAUUUUAUUUUUUAUGUUGCAGUAUUCAUUAAUCAUGCUUAUCAUUUAAAGACGUCAACAUUUAUUUAUUGAAAUAAGUCUGAUGAGAGAACGUUAUCUGUUUAAAAUUGUUGGGACUUCACAACUAAUUAUUUGAUGUGUUAUAGAUUAAUGAGAUGUAUUAGAAUUCGAAAAGCUUCGUAUUUGCACGAAAGAAUGUGAUGGGGUGGUGGGAGUUUGAUGGGGAAACAUGGGACCCUUGAUUUUUCAGGAAUUAUUUGCUGAAUUCCGAUAAGAAACGAAACCUUGUGAGCCCAGCAGAGCAGCAUUCCCAAGAAUUGGACAUGUAAGUGGUGAAAGUUCUGAAACAAAGCAUGUGAAUUGCAGUCUGGAAUCCGCUAUAAAAAUUCCUACCCCACUCUUUAAAUUGCACGAUGUUUAUAUAUAUAAUAUGUCAAUAUCUUAGGAUUUGUUUGUAAAUGUUUUUAAAAUGAUUAAAAUCGUUUUUUGUGAAAUUAUUUUUGGAUUCCAAAACCACAUGAAAUUCUUCUUACAAAAAACAUAUAAUUGGUGUUUCUUGCAGAAAGCACUUCAAAUAUUUUUUCAAGAUUCACUUAUAUUUUUACUAAAAAUUGGUUCCAAAAACACUUUUAAAGAAAUUGCUUUCAUCAUUUUAAAAACAAUUUCAAACUAACAUUUAUUUAUUUGAUAAACACAUUAUGCGCUGUCAAUUUCUGUAGGAAAUUUCAUCAAACUUGUCUUCACAAGUUUUGGUAAACACAAACUAACUAAAACUCGUGGGGAUAAGAAGUAUAGAGAUGAAAUGUAGAGAACCUGUGGGAAAGAAAUUCUAUAUGUACUAAAACCCGUGGAGAAAUCAAUGUAGCUUAGUAACAGUGCAUUUCCAGUUUUACACCCGCUUAUUUCAACUUCGCCCCGUUUGCUUCCUUCUUCUAUGCUCCUCCCCCCUCGUGUAAUAUGCCAAACCUUCAUCUUCAACUCGACCUCCCCCUUCACAAACUCCCUCCGGUCCCUUUUCUCUAUAAAUUGUAAUCACCGCCACCACCAGUUCGCUCAAACUUUGUCUAUAAAGCCUCUUUAAAUGCACAAGAAUUGAGAUUUUUGUAUCAUCAACAACAAAGACAUGAAAGUUGUCGCAAGAAAGAAGAUUACCUGACAAAGAGGAGGUUUUCUUGGAUUCUCAUCGUCUCUUGGGCCACCACUUCCACCUUCAUUUCCAGGUGCCUUUUAGGACCUGAUGUUGAACAGAAAUGAUGCCAACCGAAAGCAUUGUAACUUUCCCAUUCAACGUUGCCACGUUGAAGGCAAUAACGACGAGAAAUUUUUGAAGUCAAGCAAGAAAUCAAUGGCUUCUCCCGCAUAAAAAGCAUUUUUCUCACUCUCUUUUACAGUGGAAGAAGCUAUUGAUUUCUUUCUUGGCUUCGACAGUAUCUUCAAAAAUUUCUCCGCCGUUGUUGCCUUCAACAUGGGGACGUUGAAUGGGAAAGUUCCAUUAUCGAGGGGUGUUUUCUGUUCAAUAUUAUGGGGUCCGCAAAAAUGCACCCUGAAAAUGAAGGUGUUGGUGGUGAUCCAAGAGACGAUGGAAAUCCAAGAAACCUCCUCUUUUUUAGGUUAUCUUUUUUCUUGCUAUUAUUUUCAUGUCUUUUGCUGUUGAUCAUGCAAAAAUCUCAUUUUUCACGACUAAAGCUUGUAAGCACAAGGCCAUAUUAGAUGACUUGUAUGUCUGAGACUCUGAAUUGCCGUUACUAAACUUGUGAUUGCAAGAGAGAAAAUUGUUUAUUGGGCCGGCAAUGCCGUGGAAAAAAACAAAACUUCAUGAAAAAAUAUAUUCUCCCAUCACACUAAUUAUGUUUCUGAAAUGAAUGUGUGAAACAACUGUGAUCUUUAGUCAAUGCAAUUCUUAUCUUUUAAGUUUCAAGAAUUUCUGUAAAGCUUAGUAUUUGUGAAAAUAAUUCAAGUGUUUUUUUUUUUUGUGCAAAAAAUUAUUUUUUAUUUAAUUUUUUUUAUUUGGUUUUCACCUGAUAAAAUCGUUUGACAGCACCAGGCUACCAGCUACAUGCCAGGAGGCCCAGUUCAAAAUCUGUGGCGUGUGAGUUGUUUGAUAAAAGGUAGAGUGAAGAUAGGACAAUACUUGCGUUUCACGAAACAGUUGAUCUAAUUAUUAAAUAUAUUGUCACUUAGUACUACAGUAUAAUAGUAUUUCUCUUCACUUGUAAGUAAGAUGUAUUAGGUUUGAUUCUCACCAAAAACAAAUUUGAACCUUUGGUGAAUUUGAACUAUAUUAUUGCUAGUCUCUUGUGAAGCUAACCUCACUCUUCUCUUCCUUAAUGUAGAUAAUAUUGUUUGUUGAAAAAAAAAAAAGGCUAUUGAGCAUAUUGUAUUCACAAAUUGGGAUUUCAUGCUCAAAUAUUUGGGUACCAGUAAUAGUCCAUCUAAAUGUCCUACAGUUCGAGGGAAACUUACAUAUGUAUAUCUUUUUUAAAAAGAGACUUGCAACGAUAAUUUGUAGGAAGAAUACUUUUUAGGGAACUUUAACGAAAAGCAUCUGGUACUGUUCAUUUUAACGAAAAACCACAUUUUUACACUAAAAAGUCAAUCCUGGUACUAUUCACUUUACUCUUUAUUUUGUCCUUAUCAUUAAAACUCAAAGUUUUCAAACCCUUUUCAUUAGUUUUCCUUACUUUCUAACGAGCGUUUGGAAAUAACUUAUAUACAACAUACGUAUAUCUUUUUAGAAGAGACUUGGCCACAAAAAUAUAUGGGAUUUUAGCUAAAAUAGCCUUAUUUGCAAAACACAAUUCCAAAGAAGUCCAUUUUGCAAAAUAGAAUCUGCAAUGGGCACUAACUAUUGGUUAAUUGCAUAUCAGCCCAAAUUUAUUAUUAUGAUAUCAUCAUUAUUCUGUCACACUGUUGUCAUUAGCUCCAAUUUGUCAUAAUAUUAAAAUAAAAUUCAAAAAAUGAUCUUUAUGUGGUUAUUCUUGUUGUAGGCCUAUUUGACUUAACUGUAUUUAAUACAGAGAGGGAGAAGGGUCGGCGACAACAGAGAUAGAAGAGUGAGAUGUAAUUUUGAGGUAUGUGUUGUAUCAUCCUAUUGUGUCUUUAUUUAUAGUAGUAGGGAAGAUUAAAUCAUUACCCUAUUAGGAUUACAACUCUAAUAGGAAUUUAACCACUAAAGAGAAUAUACAAAGAUACUCCUAGAUACACUAGGAUUUACAUAAUCACAUUCCUAAUCCAAUAGAACUGCAACACUCCCCCUUGAGAGUGUAAAUACUCAAACAAAGCAUCACAUCAGAUCUUAAGCAGAUAAGGUAGAACAGUUGAUGAAGUCGUCGGCACAACGGGUGAAUGGGAGUCUCAAAUUUAAAAGAAAGUAUGCAUGGGUAGUAAAACUCAUAAACACUUUGCUCUAGUAAAACCUAAGGCAGGUGAAAACCCAUAGACUAAGGAGAAAAGUGAGAAGUAUGCAUAAUGUCUUAAAACAAACGUCAAAUAGGAUGAAAAUAGUGAACUCAACGGAGUAUGAUCAUCACAGGAUGAGUGCCUCGUUUAAACCUCUUUAGGUAGCAAAACCCCAGUGGGAAAAAUGUUCCUAAUCAUAAGAAAAAUAGUAUAUUAAGAUCAAGUGAGUAUGCUUCAAGAUACUCCUCUUGAGUUAUACAUAACUUCCAAAUAAGAGAAAGUAAUUCAACUCAGAUAAUUUACGCAUACCGAUUCCUUGGACGAGCUUCUGAAAAGUAGACUUAAACAAUGACUUGGUGAAGAGAUCGGCCAAGUUGUCUUGGGAACGGAUUUGCUUGACUUCAAUGUUUUGAUGAUAUUGUUGCUGGUGAGAAUAAAAUAACUUCGGCGUUAUGUGUUUGGUGUUGUCUCCCUUAAUGUAACCAUUCUUUAACUGCUCGAUACAUGUUGCAUUGUCUUUAAACAUCAUCGUAGGAAGGUCAAUGACAGAAGUAAGACCACUAGUGCUUCGAAAAUGUUCCAUGACUGCUUUCAACCAAAAGCACUCAAACAAUGCUUCAUGCAAGGUGAGAAUCUUAGCAUGGUUCGAAAAAGUCGCAACUACCGUUUGCUUGAUAGACCUACAAGAUAUAGCGGUGUCUCCAAUGGUAAAUACAUAACCUGUUUGAGAAUGUGCCCUAUAUGGGUCAGACAGAGAACCAACAUCUGUGUAACCAACGAGGUGAGAAUAAACUCAAGUGACAGAGGGGGGCGGUGGCUUCUCUCAAGGAUUCAUGGGUGUAGAACAAGCCCAAAUCAAUCAUACCCUUAAGGUAGCGAAACAUAUCUUUAACACCAUUCCAGUGUCUGCGUGUAGGCGUAUUGCUGUAUCUAGCCAAAAGAUUAAUGGUGAGAUAUAGGUCUAGUGCAUUGAGCCAAGUACAAUAAAGCACCAAUUGCACUUAGGUAUGGAACUUUAGGCUCCAAAAUCUCUUCUUCAUCCUCCUUUGGACUGAAGGGAUCUCAUUUAGCAUCUAGAGUCCGAACGACCAUAUGAGUACUCGAAAGCUUCGCUUUAUCCUCAUUAAAACGUCGCAACACCUUUUGGGUGUAGUUCGAUUAAUGUACUAAGAUUUCAUUCGAACAAUGCUCGAUCUCUAGGCCGUUUUCCCAAGAUCUUUCAUCUCAAAUUCCAAUUUCAAGUGAACGACGAUUUCCUCAAGCUCUGCGGGAGUUCCAAUGAAGUUCAUGUCGUCGACAUAAACUACAACGAUUGCAAAUCUAGAAUGUGACUUCUUUAUGAACACACAUGGGCAUAAUUCAUUGUUCACAUAACCCUAACUUGUCAAAUAUUCACUUAGAUAGUUAUACCAUAUCCACUUAAAUUGUUUCAAUCCGUAGAGUGAUCUCUUCAAUCUAAUCGAGAAAGUGUUCCGUGGUCUAAAACUAUUUGAACCAGUCAAUGGAAGUCCUCCUAUAACUUUUAUGUACAUUUUUGUAUCUAGAUCCCCAUAGAGAUACGCAGUUACCACGUCCAUAAGCUGCAUAUUCAGUUUUUCAAAAACUACCAAACUAAUAAGAUUGCAAAACGUUAUGAUGUCUAUUACAGGGGAAUACGUCUCCUCGCAAUCGAUCCCAGGGUGCUGAGAGAAGCCUUGCGCUACGAGGCGUGCUUUGUAUCACAUUAUUUCAUUUUUUCUCAUUACGCUUGCUCACGAAAACCUACUUGUAGCUCACGGGCUUCACAUGUGGGGGAGUAGGAGCUACAGGCCCAAACACCUUACAUUUCGCAAGCGAAUUAAGUUCGACCUGGAUUAAUUAUUUCCAGUUUGACCAAUUUGUUCUAUGUCGACAUUCAUCAACGGAACGUGGUUCAAUGUCAUCGCUAAGCAUGAUGUCGGAAGUAACGGUAUAUGCGAAUACAUCAUCGACAAUCAUCUCAUUCUGAUUCCAAACCUCAUCCAAUACUGCGUAAUGGACCGAAAUCUCAUGAUUCUUGGGAGGCCGGUAUGUUUCAUCUAAGACAUCGCCGUAAUCUAAAAUAACCACAUGCGUUGGAACAGAUGAGUAAACAAUGGUUGGAUUCAUACUAUGGUCACUAGUUUGUGCCAUUUUCCUCUUCUGAGGUUGUGAAUCAUUUGAACUAGGGGGGCCUAUCACGCUUCAGGGUAGAAAUAGGUGAUUGGUUAGCUGCCAGUGUACCGAGCCACGUGGGAGGUGCGGCCACCCCACCCUCGGGGACAGUCCGGUUCCAAGGCAGUGUUACGGUGUACGUUAAGUACGUCCAUCUUUGCAAGUGUGUUUGCAAUUGGUAUAUGUGAUCUCAUCACCUUUGCUAGAUCAGUAAAAGCAUCUGGCAUACUUUAAGUGAUGCUCUGAAGAUCUAUAAUACAUCGCACUUCAAUUUCAGACUGAGGGGUAUGGGGAUCUAAAUGAGACAUAGUGGAAGUAAUCCACGAUAAUUCGUGGCGUUCUACAUGAACGUUAAUGAUCUUAUCUCCCCCCAAUGACGGUAAGAUUGUCUCAUCAAAGUGACAAUCCGCAAAACGUGCUAUAAAGAGAUCUUGUAUCAAUGGCUCUAAGUAGCGAGUAAUUGAUGUCAAAUCAUAACCAACACAGUCUCCUAUUUUUCUCUAAGGACUCAUUUUAGUACUUAGUGGAGGCACUAUUGGCACAUAAACGGUGCGCGCAAACACACGUAAAUGCAAGAUGUCAUGCUCGUAUCCAGUAACCAACUAUAACGGUGAAUAAGGUUGGGUAGCGGUGGGCCUCAGGUGGACCAACAUAGCUGCGUGCAAUAUUGCAUAGCCCCAGCAUAUAUUAACAAAGUUUUUCGCAUAACCAAAGUCUGAGCUAUCGUUUGAAGGCACUUUAUGAAAGCUUCUGCAGGUCGUUUUGGGUGUGAACAUGGGGUACAUGAUGUUCAACUUCAUUCCCAACAGACAUGCAAUAAUCGUCAAAAGUCUGUGAUGUAAACUCUCAAACAUUAUCCAGUCGAAUCGACUGGAUCGGAUAAUCAAGGUGGUGAGCCCUAAGCUUAAUAAUUUGUGCUAAGAGUUUCGCAAAUGCAGCAUUGCGUGUGGACAAUAAGUAGACAUGUGACCAUCGCGUCCAUACAUCAACCAACACCAUGAAGUAUCUAAAUGGUUCGCAUGUUAGUUGGAUAGGUCCAUAAAUAUCCCCUUGAAUCCGCUGAAUAAACUUAGGGGGGUCGUGAAUAAUCUUUGUAAGUGAGGGUUGAAUGUUCAACUUCCCCAAGGAGCAUGCUUUGCAAAGCAGAUGGCCGGGAUAAGAUUUUAAGUAACACCCAUGUGAUACUUUGAGGAUACGACGCAUCAUAUCGCGUUCGGGGUGUCCCAUUCGACCACGCCAAAGCAGGAGAGUGUUUUGGAACUUGGCCAUAAGGGCGGCCAAGUGAUGAGUCUCAAUGGCGCAAAUGGUUGUUAUGUACAACCCACUCGGGAGACGUUCCAGCUUCUUGUGAAUACUCUUCUGGCCAUAUUUGUAAGAAGUGAUACUAAGAAAUUCGGAACCAUUCUCUUAUGUGGUUUCAACAUGAUAUUGAUUAUCUCGAAUAUCUCUAAAACUCAGCAGCGUUCUUCUGGAACGUGGAGAAUAUAGUGCCUUUUUAAUGGUUAAUUCAGUAUAAUUGGACAACAUAAUAUUGGCCUUUCUGUAUCCUUCUAUUAGGUUGGAUAGGCCUGAGAGGUGUCAUAUGUGCAUUUUUAGGUACGAAGUUAGUAAAAUAGUGUUUAUCAUGUAAUAUGGUGUGUGUGGUGGCACUAUCAGCCAAAAUUAACUUUCCCACUAGUUAUGCCUAAUCGAAUCGAUCAUAUGCAUAAUUCCAUUCAUUCAAUUAAUCAAUUUGAGAAAUAAUAUCCAUAAAGUAAUUAUCCAUAAUUCAAAACAAACCAAAACCAAACAAAUAAUUCCAAAGACUUAGAAAUUGUCCGAAAAUUAAACCAUAAACCUAAAAUUUAAGGGGGGGUUCGACCAUUCUAGUGGGUUCGGCCACUAGGGGUGUAAAACGCCCUAACAUGUCUUAGAAAAAUAAAACUUUAUUCUUUUAUGAGAGUGGAUGCCUCCUGAAAAUCUAAAAUCUUUAGAGUUGUAGUAAUAUCUUCGGCAUGUUCUAGAAGUGCAAAGUUAGACUCACGACGGGAAUGAUACUUGGCAACAGCCUCGGGGGUAGCUCGGCAUACGUGUGACCAAUAAUCCUUUGAUCCAUAGCGAUAACACAUGUCUAGUUCAGUGGAAGCUGAUUGAAUGGUAGCUUUGCCCCUUGUUCUUGAAGUUUAGGACCUUAAGGGCAAGGGGUUGGCGUUUCUGGGUUAAAUUUUCUCCCAUGGGUGGGCUUCUGUUUUG